GAGCCAGUACAGGAUGGACCCGCGUCUGAUUAGCUAGUUGGUAAGGUAACGGCUUACCAAGGCGACGAUCAGUAGCCGACCUGAGAGGGUGAUCGGCCACAUUGGAACUGAGACACGGUCCAAACGCCUACGGGAGGCAGCAGUGGGGAAUAUUGCACAAUGGGCGAAAGCCUGAUGCAGCAACGCCGCGUGAGUGAUGAAGGCCGUCGGGUCGUAAAACUCUGUCCUCAAGGAAGAUAAUGACGGUACUUGAGGAGGAAGCCCCGGCUAACUACGUGCCAGCAGCCGCGGUAAUACGUAGGGGGCUAGCGUUAUCCGGAUUUACUGGGCGUAAAGGGUGCGUAGGCGGUCUUUCAAGUCAGGAGUGAAAGGCUACGGCUCAACCGUAGUAAGC
rnacentral:rRNA from 1 species